rnacentral:ncRNA from 2 species
UUAGAUAUGCCUACUCAAGGUGCUGUCUUUUAGGGAAGGCGGAGAAUUGGGAAGCCGGUCAAAACCCGGCGCUGCCCCCGCAACGGUGGUGGAGCGAAAGCCACGGCACAAAGCCACUGGACGGUUCCGUCCGGGAAGGCGCCGGGCUGGUCCUUGCGGACGGCUCCUGAGCCCGGAAACCAGCCUUGACGCGAACAGACCG